rnacentral:rRNA from 1 species
UACAGAGGGGGCAAGCGUUGUUCGGAAUUACUGGGCGUAAAGCGCGCGUAGGCGGCUUUGCAAGUCGGGUGUGAAAUCCCCGGGCUCAACCCGGGAACUGCGUCCGAUACUGGCAGGCUUGAAUUCGGGAGAGGGAUGCGGAAUUCCAGGUGUAGCGGUGAAAUGCGUAGAUAUCUGGAGGAACACCGGUGGCGAAGGCGGCAUCCUGGACCGGUAUUGACACUGAGGCGCGAAAGCCAGGGGAGCAAACGGG